rnacentral:rRNA from 1 species
AUUGAACGCUGGCGGCAGGCCUAACACAUGCAAGUCGAACGAGUGGCGGACGGGUGAGUAAUGUCUGGGAAACUGCCUGAUAGAGGGGGAUAACUACUGGAAACGGUGGCUAAUACCGCAUACUAUCGGAUGUGCACAUAUGGGAUUAGCUAGUAGGUGGGGUAACGGCUCAACUAGGCGACGAUCCCUAGCUGGUCUGAGAGGAUGAUCAGCCACACUGGAACUGAUGCACGGUACAUACUCCUACGGGAGGCAGCAGUGGGGAAUAUUGCACAAUGGGCGCAAGCCUGAUGCAGCCAUGCCGCGUGUAUGAAGAAGGCCUUAGGGUUGUAAAGUACUUUCAGCGGGGAGGCGUUACCCGCAGAAGAAGCACCGGCUAACUCCGUGCCAGCAGCCGCGGUAAGAC